rnacentral:rRNA from 1 species
CCUACGGGAGGCAGCAGUGGGGAAUUUUCCGCAAUGGGCGAAAGCCUGACGGAGCAACGCCGCGUGAGGGAUGAAGGCCUCUGGGCUGUAAACCUCUUUUAUCAAGGAAGAAGAUCUGACGGUACUUGAUGAAUAAGCCACGGCUAAUUCCGUGCCAGCAGCCGCGGUAAUACGGGAGUGGCAAGCGUUAUCCGGAAUUAUUGGGCGUAAAGCGUCCGCAGGCGGUCUUGUAAGUCUGUCGUUAAAGCGUGGAGCUUAACUCCAUUUCGGCGGUGGAAACUACAAGACUAGAGUGUGGUAGGGGCAGAGGGAAUUCCCGGUGUAGCGGUGAAAUGCGUAGAUAUCGGGAAGAACACCAGUGGCGAAGGCGCUCUGCUGGGCCAUAACUGACGCUCAUGGACGAAAGCUAGGGGAGCGAAAGGGAUUAGAUACCCCUGUAGUCCUAGCCGUAAACGAUGAACACUAGGUGUCGGGGGAAUCGACCCCCUCGGUGUCGUAGCUAACGCGUUAAGUGUUCCGCCUGGGGAGUACGCACGCAAGUGUGAACUCAAAGGAAUUGACGG